AUUGAACGCUGGCGGCAGGCCUAACACAUGCAAGUCGAGCGGAUGAGUGGAGCUUGCUCCAUGAUUCAGCGGCGGACGGGUGAGUAAUGCCUAGGAAUCUGCCUGGUAGUGGGGGACAACGUUUCGAAAGGAACGCUAAUACCGCAUACGUCCUACGGGAGAAAGUGGGGGAUCUUCGGACAUCACGCUAUCAGAUGAGCCUAGGUCGGAUUAGCUAGUUGGUGAGGUAAAGGCUCACCAAGGCGACGAUCCGUAACUGGUCUGAGAGGAUGAUCAGUCACACUGGAACUGAGACACGGUCCAGACUCCUACGGGAGGCAGCAGUGGGGAAUAUUGGACAAUGGGCGAAAGCCUGAUCCAGCCAUGCCGCGUGUGUGAAGAAGGUCUUCGGAUUGUAAAGCACUUUAAGUUGGGAGGAAGGGCAGUAAGUUAAUACCUUGCUGUUUUGACGUUACCAACAGAAUAAGCACCGGCUAACUUCGUGCCAGCAGCCGCCGUAAUAC
rnacentral:rRNA from 1 species